UGUCAAGCACUUUUGGCGUCGUUUCGGCGAGCGGAUUUCUUUUGCCUGAUCUGAGGUGAAAGGAA
rnacentral:sRNA from 1 species